rnacentral:rRNA from 1 species
AUUGAACGCUGGCGGCAUGCCUUACACAUGCAAGUCGAACGGCAGCACGGGAGCAAUCCUGGUGGCGAGUGGCGAACGGGUGAGUAAUACAUCGGAACGUGCCCAGUUGUGGGGGAUAGCCCGGCGAAAGCCGGAUUAAUACCGCAUACGACCUACGGGUGAAAGCGGGGGAUCGCAAGACCUCGCGCUAUUGGAGCGGC